GAUGAAGAACGCAGCGAAAUGCGAUAAGUAAUGUGAAUUGCAGAAUUCAGUGAAUCAUCGAAUCUUUGAACGCACAUUGCGCCCGCCAGUAUUCUGGCGGGCAUGCCUGUUCGAGCGUCAUUUCAACCAUCAAGCCCCAGGCUUGUGUUGGGGACCUGCGGCUGCCGCAGGCCCUGAAAACCAGUGGCGGGCUCGCUGUCACACCGGGCGUAGUAGAUUUUAUCUCGCUCAGGGCGUGCUGCGGGUUUCGGCCGUUAAAAAGCCUUUUUACCCAAGGUUGACCUCGGAUCAGGUAGGAAGACCCGCUGAACUUAAGCAUAUCAAUAAGCGGAGGA
rnacentral:misc_RNA from 1 species